UAUUUUGCUAGUGGCCACCACAAUUUAUUUCAUAACUUUGACCUCAAAUCAGGUAGGACUACCCGCUGAACUUAAGCAUAUCAAUAAGCGGAGGAAAAGAAACCAACAGGAUUGCCUUAGUAGCGGCGAGUGAAGCGGCAAAAGCUCAAAUUUGAAAUCUGGCUCUUUCAGAGUCCGAGUUGUAAUUUGAAGAAGGUAUCUUUGGGUCUGGCUCUUGUCUAUGUUUCUUGGAACAGAACGUCACAGAGGGUGAGAAUCCCGUGCGAUGAGAUGAUCCAGGCCUAUGUAAAGUUCCUUCGAAGAGUCGAGUUGUUUGGGAAUGCAGCUCUAAGUGGGUGGUAAAUUCCAUCUAAAGCUAAAUAUUGGCGAGAGACCGAUAGCGAACAAGUACAGUGAUGGAAAGAUGAAAAGAACUUUGAAAAGAGAGUGAAAAAGUACGUGAAAUUGUUGAAAGGGAAGGGCUUGAGAUCAGACUUGGUAUUUUGUAUGUUACUUCUUCGGGGGUGGCCUCUACAGUUUAUCGGGCCAGCAUCAGUUUGGGCGGUAGGAGAAUUGCGUUGGAAUGUGGCACGGCUUCGGUUGUGUGUUAUAGCCUUCGUCGAUACUGCCAGCCUAGACUGAGGACUGCGGUUUAUACCUAGGAUGUUGGCAUAAUGAUCUUAAGUCGCCCGUCUUGAAACACGGACCAAGGAGUCUAACGUCUAUGCGAGUGUUUGGGUGUAAAACCCGUACGCGUAAUGAAAGUGAACGUAGGUGGGGGCCCGUAUGGGUGCACCAUCGACCGAUCCUGAUGUCUUCGGAU
rnacentral:rRNA from 1 species